rnacentral:rRNA from 1 species
UACGGAGGGAGCUAGCGUUAUUCGGAAUUACUGGGCGUAAAGCGCACGUAGGCGGCUUUGUAAGUUAGAGGUGAAAGCCUGGAGCUCAACUCCAGAAUUGCCUUUAAGACUGCAUCGCUUGAAUCCAGGAGAGGUGAGUGGAAUUCCGAGUGUAGAGGUGAAAUUCGUAGAUAUUCGGAAGAACACCAGUGGCGAAGGGCGGCUCACUGG